GAGUUCAGUCACAAACCUGAGCAUGCACAAGCACAUUCUUAGAAUCAAUAUGGAAAAGCAAUGCCAACUUGUGCAUUUCAUUUGCACUUUUCGCCUCGUGUCUCGGAUGUAAAUGUGAACCAUUUUAGGUAGAUAUAAAUCUGUGUACUUAAAUACUUAGUAAUUAGUAACUGACAAGUUAAUGAGAGCUGUAGAAAUGGAUUUGGGAUGUGUUGUGAAGCCUGUUAUGUAAGGAAAUUCACUCUAUUUCUCGUACUUAGUAACUAAAGUUUCGGGUGUUAUAUGACGUGUAUAGACGAUAUGUGUACCCUACGUCUCUAACUAAUGUCACAGUAUCAUGUUUAUAUUCUAAAACUAUAGUAAUAGACGAAAUAAAAAGAAUGAGAUCAAACGGAUCCUCCGUCCCA
rnacentral:lncRNA from 1 species